rnacentral:lncRNA from 10 species
GUCCACCAUUCCUAUCAUGAUUUUAAGGUAUUUCUGGUCUUCUUCAAGUGUCUCCUGGAGGCUAAAGGUGUACAUGGUAUUUUCCCAUUGCAAUGCAGCAGCGCAGCAGAAGGGGGAGCUGACACAAGCCUUCCCAGGUCUGAACCAACUUCUCUCAAGCGUGUGAAGCCUUUCUUUAUGUAGCCAGUCUCCACCCAGGGCUCAGUAGGCUUAGGGAAAUGGGAGGCGGAAGGGCACCUCACAGUGUACUCAACCCUUCUGAAUUGGAUUUUGUGAGCUGUGUAUGUCAGGUUCCGAUGUGAGGCCUGGCGCUGUGGAGGUUCCAAUGGCCGCCAUGUUGUCUCAGAGGGACACACCACAGGCUUCUGGAACUCUGGCUCCAUUUUGUGGGUGCAAGUUUCUGGCUUCCGUUUUAAAGAGCAAGAGAACCUAUCAGCGUUGUCAAUUCUAAGAAAGUGAGUGCCAAGAGCAGGCUGUACAAGAAGCAUGGCACAAGAAUCUGCUUCUGAAGAGGGCUUCAGGAAGCUUCCACUCAUGGUGGAAAAGGAAGGAGAGCAGGUAUCACAGCGCAAGAAAGAAGAAAUUGUUCCACUCCAUAAGUUCCCUCCUGGAGGAUGUGUGAGACACCAGGCUGCAUGUUAGAAACGGCUGUGCUCCGGAAGGCUACCAGGGUCAUCGUGAGGGCCUUGCAGAUUUCAGAAAUGAAGUGACCUGCCUUGAGUCUUCCCUCAGCCUCCUCACUCCACUGUAGUCUCAGGAGAGUGAGGACAACAAAACUCUCUUCUCCCCACAUUACCACUUCAGCGCUGACCUGUGGCUUGAGAAUCUAAUCUGUGUGCACCGUGGCAAAGUCUUGGUUUUACAGGUCUCACCUGACAGCUAGUCCUGAUUUUUCCAUGAUGUGUGGGUAAAAAGUGGGUUCUUGAAGGGAAACCUCAAUGUAGCUUAGCUCUUGAGAAAACAGUAUGUGCAUAUGCUUCUUGGAUAGAAAAAGAAAAAGGAAUGAGAGAGGAAAACGAAGUCUUAUAGAAAAACCUGGCCGGAUGCGGUGGCUCACACCUGUAAUCCCAACACUUUGGGAGGCCAAGGUGGGCAGAUCAUGAGGUCAAGAGAUCGAGACCAUCCUGGCCAACAUGGUGAAACCCCGUCUCUACUAAAAAUACAAAAAGUAGCUGGGUGUGGUGGUGUGCACCUGUAGUCCCAGCUACUUGGGAGGCUGAGGCAGGAGAAUCACUUAAACCUGGGGGCGGAGGUUGCAGUGAGCCGAGAUCACGCCACUCCACUCCAGCCUGGCGACAGAGCGAGGCUCCAUCUCAAAAAAAAAAAAAAGAAAAAAGAAAAAAGAAAAACCUGCAAAACAUUAAGAAGGAAGUGAUCAUUAAUACUGAGACAAACUGCUUUCUUCUAUAUUAAGUAUAUGAGAAUAAUUUUGUGAUUUGUGAUUUGUUUCUCCAUUCCAAACCUGAGAAAGGGGAGGCAAAUUAUUUUUAUGUUGCUAUUCAUAUAUAGGCUGUUACCUGUAUAAAGUUUAAAUAUAUAAUUCUGAUACUGUGGUUAAAUGAGAUUCUAAGACCAGUGAGUAGGGGCAGGUGUUAGGAAUGGUCAAAUCAAUAAUGUAGACAUUGAAAUGUUCACAAAUGAUAGACUGUGAUAUUUACUCUUAUACUCAUGAUUUUUUAGUGGCUGUGGAAUUUGGGGCAGUGUUUCCAGUCCCAUUCUGUCCAUUUUAUUUGUUAAGGUAAUCAUCCAAGACCAUACCUGAUGGGGGAAAGUGUAUAUGGAGGGAUGUAACUUUCUAAGAGGUUGUCUUAAAAGGAGGACUGAUGACAUUCCUUCUCCUUAAUUUAUAUACUGUGUGUUUACUGUUCUCAACUUAGAGCUCAGGUUACUCCAGUCAAGACCACAGCAAAUUUGGGAAGAGAAGACCUCUAAGAAAUUGCCUAGCAUGAUUGUUAAUCAAAGUACUGCUAGUAAUUCUAUUAUUAUUACAGACAUUUCUUAUGUUCCAGGACUGGCUAAACACUUUAUAUACAAAAUUUUAUCUCAUUUAAUCCUUACAACAGUCCAGAAAAAGGCAUUGUAAUCCUUGUUAUACAGAUGAGGAGAUUAAGGUUUAGAGAGGUAAGGUCAUUUGCCCAAGGUCACUGAGCUUGGAAAUAAUGAGACUAGGAUUUUAAUCCAAAUACUUGUGUUCUUAAGAAUUACACUGCUUUUACAUUAAAGCUGCUAGAAACAUUUUUUUUAAACCUAUAUUUCAAACAAGAGUCAAAACAAAACCAGAAAAGUCCAAAGCCAAUUUACAGCCUGAUUUCUUCUUGGCCUUGUAAUGCUGAGUGAAAAUUGCUGAGCCUUUGGUUUGGGAGAAGCAUUUGAAAUGCAAUACAGGAGAAAAUCUUGAUGCCAGGAGUUGCCUCAUGUUUGCCUUUAAACCAUAAUGGCCCCGAGCUCCAGUACUAGAGUCAGAUUUAUUAAUCACCCAUUAUGUGCCAGGUCCUGCAGUUCCUUUGGGUGAUGGAAAGUGUCGGCUUUACAGUUGACAGAGCACACUUGCCGACAUAAAUCCCCACACCGCGCCCUGGAGCCAAUUCAGUGUACACGCCAAAGCAGGAAACUGAGGCUUGGAAAAAAUAAGGUCCAGGCUUAGAAAGUGUGAAAGAAAGGACUCAAAUGAGGUCAUUUGCUCCCUGUCCGAGGGCUAACUGUACUGCUUCAGGCUCCAUUAUGAAAAACGCACACAGAGUUCACCCAUACCUCAUGCCCUGUCCCUCCCAUUUUCAACCUGUCAUCCGUGACAAACCUGCUUUUUCUUCUGUUGCUUUCUGAAACUUCUUUUGAAUUUGCUUUCUCAGCAUCAGUAGGGUCAAUGUGAACUGACUUACUUUGUAAGUUGUGAAUAAAUGUUCAUUUUUUUUCUAAAAAAUACAGUGCAAUGAGAAUGAUGGACUGUGCUUUUCUAUUUCUUUUUGAUUCUUGCUGUAGAAUCUAACAGAGCUUAAAACUGUUUAAUUGCCUCCCGGAAUAUAAUCUUUAUCCAAUUUUCCUUCUCUUUUAGACACAGUGUCUAAGAGACCAAGAAAUCAGUUAGCAUCCCAAGGAGCCCUGAGUUGUGUGCGUGGCUUUCUGUGUGAUGCCUGUGCUUGUGUCUCUUCUCUUCCUGCUUCUUUGAAAAUGUGCAUCUCCCUCAAUUGAUGUAGCCCUCUGCCUUUUAACCUCUUUAAAUAUCUGUUCAGUUAGAUAUCUCCUUUUUAUUUUUUAUCAUAGAAAAAUUUGAACAUAUACAGAAAUAGAGAAACUAGUAUAAUGAAGCCAGUGUACCUGACUUCAACAAUGAUCAUUAUUACAUGGAUAAUAUUCCAUUAUCUGUAUUCCCACCCAUCCCCAGCACCUGCAUUAUUUUGAAGUAAAUCCAAAAUGUCAUCUCAUUUCUUCUAUAAAUAUUUCAUAUGCAUCUCUAGAAAAUGAGGACUAUUUAAAAAAGCAUAACCACAAUAUUGUCACACCUAAGUUAAUAGUAAUUCUUUAGUAUAAUUAAGUAUCCACUCAUUGCUCAUAUUUUACUGGCUUUUUAAUUGUUUUAAUUUACUUGAAUUGGUAUCCAACAAGGUCUCAACUGUGUCAUUGGUUGAUAUGUAUCUUUAAAUGUCUUUUACUUUACAGAUUUCCUCUCCAUCUCAUUUUUUUUUCUUAUGGUUGAUACAGAAGAAAAUGGCUGCUUUUGCUGUAGAGUUUCCACAAGGGAUUGGAUUCUGCCGAAAUCCCUUCUAGUUGACAACUGCCCACCAUGCUUCUGCUUUCCAAUAUGUGCAGAGCUCUGAAAAAUUGGAAUUCCUGAUGUGCACAUUUCAGCUGAGGUCCCAACAAGGAGACCGUGUUUUCUUGUUUCAGCUCUCACACUAUAACCAGAUAUACCAGAGAGAAGCUGGACACAGCUACAGAAGAUCUAGGUCUAGUCCCAGUUUUGUGAAUCUGGGCAAAGCGUGUUAACUCUCUGACGUCCAUUCCCUCGCCUGCAAGAUGGGAUUCGUGUUUUGUGCUUUGAAUCUUUCAAAGGAUUUUGGUGAGGAUCAAUUAAGACAACAUGUGUAAAAUACUUUGUGAAAAUGUAAGAUGUUUAAAAAUGCAAGAAUAUCAAAUAUCCUAGGGAAUUCCUGAACCUAGCUUUGUAUCAGAUUCAUUCAGAAUGAGCUUUAAAUAAAAAAUACAUCUCAUUUCACAGACUCCAGCCUCAAAUCACAAGGGAGAGGGCCUGAAAUCAUAAAACAAAAACAAAACCAGAGCUAUAGAAAUAAAAGAAUAAGAACAUAGAUGCGUGGCAUGAUGAUGAAGAUGAUAAAUUUAACCACUAAGAUGCACUUUGAGUGAGAAAUAGGCAAGGCCUCAUUUUUGCUA